GGUUAAGCGACUAAGCGUACACGGUGGAUGCCCUGGCAGUCAGAGGCGAUGAAGGGCGUGCUAAUCUGCGAUAAGCGCCGGUAAGGUGAUAUGAACCGUUAUAACCGGCGAUACCCGAAUGGGGAAACCCAGUGUGACUCGUCACACUAUCAUUAACUGAAUCCAUAGGUUAAUGAGGCGAACCGGGGGAACUGAAACAUCUAAGUACCCCGAGGAAAAGAAAUCAACCGAGAUUCCCCCAGUAGCGGCGAGCGAACGGGGAGGAGCCCAGAGCCUGAAUCAGCAUGUGUGUUAGUGGAAGCGUCUGGAAAGGCGCGCGAUACAGGGUGACAGCCCCGUACACAAAAGCGCAUGUGCUGUGAGCUCGAUGAGUAGGGCGGGACACGUGGUAUCCUGUCUGAAUAUGGGGGGACCAUCCUCCAAGGCUAAAUACUCCUGACUGACCGAUAGUGAACCAGUACCGUGAGGGAAAGGCGAAAAGAACCCCGGCGAGGGGAGUGAAAAAGAACCUGAAACCGUGUACGUACAAGCAGUGGGAGCCCCACCACUAAGCCAGUGGUGAACUCCACAUACGCAUCCUUUGCUGAGGAUACGGUUAACGGAGCGAAAGCGACGUUCAACCUCAAAAGAAGCAGAGGGGGCUUAGUGGUGGGGUGACUGCGUACCUUUUGUAUAAUGGGUCAGCGACUUAUAUUCUGUAGCAAGGUUAACCGAAUAGGGGAGCCGGAGGGAAACCGAGUCUUAACCGGGCGUUAAGUUGCAGGGUAUAGACCCGAAACCCGGUGAUCUAGCCAUGGGCAGGUUGAAGGUUGGGUAACACUAACUGGAGGACCGAACCGACUAAUGUUGAAAAAUUAGCGGAUGACCUGUGGCUGGGGGUGAAAGGCCAAUCAAACCGGGAGAUAGCUGGUUCUCCCCGAAAGCUAUUUAGGUAGCGCCUCGUGAAUUCAUCUCCGGGGGUAGAGCACUGUUUCGGCUAGGGGGCCAUCCCGGCUUACCAACCCGAUGCAAACUGCGAAUACCGGAGAAUGUUAUCACGGGAGACACACGGCGGGUGCUAACGUCCGUCGUGAAGAGGGAAACAACCCAGACCGCCAGCUAAGGUCCCAAAGUCAUGGUUAAGUGGGAAACGAUGUGGGAAGGCCCAGACAGCCAGGAUGUUGGCUUAGAAGCAGCCAUCAUUUAAAGAAAGCGUAAUAGCUCACUGGUCGAGUCGGCCUGCGCGGAAGAUGUAACGGGGCUAAACCAUGCACCGAAGCUGCGGCAGCGACACUCAGGUGUUGUUGGGUAGGGGAGCGUUCUGUAAGCCUGUGAAGGUGGCCUGUGAGGGUUGCUGGAGGUAUCAGAAGUGCGAAUGCUGACAUAAGUAACGAUAAAGCGGGUGAAAAGCCCGCUCGCCGGAAGACCAAGGGUUCCUGUCCAACGUUAAUCGGGGCAGGGUGAGUCGACCCCUAAGGCGAGGCCGAAAGGCGUAGUCGAUGGGAAACGGGUUAAUAUUCCCGUACUUGGUGUUACUGCGAAGGGGGGACGGAGAAGGCUAUGUUGGCCGGGCGACGGUUGUCCCGGUUUAAGCGUGUAGGUGUGUGUUCCAGGUAAAUCCGGUUCACUUUAACACUGAGGCGUGACGACGAGGCACUACGGUGCUGAAGCAACAAAUGCCCUGCUUCCAGGAAAAGCCUCUAAGCAUCAGGUAACAUCAAAUCGUACCCCAAACCGACACAGGUGGUCAGGUAGAGAAUACCAAGGCGCUUGAGAGAACUCGGGUGAAGGAACUAGGCAAAAUGGUGCCGUAACUUCGGGAGAAGGCACGCUGACACGUAGGUGAAGUGAUUUACUCAUGGAGCUGAAGUCAGUCGAAGAUACCAGCUGGCUGCAACUGUUUAUUAAAAACACAGCACUGUGCAAACACGAAAGUGGACGUAUACGGUGUGACGCCUGCCCGGUGCCGGAAGGUUAAUUGAUGGGGUCAGCGCAAGCGAAGCUCCUGAUCGAAGCCCCGGUAAACGGCGGCCGUAACUAUAACGGUCCUAAGGUAGCGAAAUUCCUUGUCGGGUAAGUUCCGACCUGCACGAAUGGCGUAAUGAUGGCCAGGCUGUCUCCACCCGAGACUCAGUGAAAUUGAACUCGCUGUGAAGAUGCAGUGUACCCGCGGCAAGACGGAAAGACCCCGUGAACCUUUACUAUAGCUUGACACUGAACACUGGUCCUUGAUGUGCAGGAUAGGUGGGAGGCUUUGAAGCGCGGACGCCAGUUCGUGUGGAGCCAUCCUUGAAAUACCACCCUUUAAUGGCUGGUGUUCUAACGUAGACCCGUGAUCCGGGUUGCGGACAGUGUCUGGUGGGUAGUUUGACUGGGGCGGUCUCCUCCUAAAGAGUAACGGAGGAGCACGAAGGUUAGCUAAUCCUGGUCGGACAUCAGGAGGUUAGUGCAAAGGCAUAAGCUAGCUUGACUGCGAGCGUGACGGCGCGAGCAGGUGCGAAAGCAGGUCUUAGUGAUCCGGUGGUUCUGAAUGGAAGGGCCAUCGCUCAACGGAUAAAAGGUACUCCGGGGAUAACAGGCUGAUACCGCCCAAGAGUUCAUAUCGACGGCGGUGUUUGGCACCUCGAUGUCGGCUCAUCACAUCCUGGGGCUGAAGUAGGUCCCAAGGGUAUGGCUGUUCGCCAUUUAAAGUGGUACGCGAGCUGGGUUUAGAACGUCGUGAGACAGUUCGGUCCCUAUCUGCCGUGGGCGCUGGAGAACUGAGGGGGGCUGCUCCUAGUACGAGAGGACCGGAGUGGACGCAUCACUGGUGUUCGGGUUGUCAUGCCAAUGGCACUGCCCGGUAGCUAAAUGCGGAAGAGAUAAGUGCUGAAAGCAUCUAAGCACGAAACUUGCCCCGAGAUGAGUUCUCCCUGAGACUUAGAGUCUCCUGAAGGAACGUUGAAGACGACGACGUUGAUAGGCCGGGUGUGUAAGCGCAGCGAUGCGUUGAGCUAACCGGUACUAAUGAACCGUGAGGCUUAACCUU
rnacentral:rRNA from 1 species